rnacentral:rRNA from 1 species
UACGUAGGGUGCGAGCGUUAAUCGGAAUUACUGGGCGUAAAGCGUGCGCAGGCGGUGAUGUAAGACAGGUGUGAAAUCCCCGGGCUCAACCCGGGAACUGCGUCCGAUACUGGAAGGCUUGAAUCCGGGAGAGGGAUGCGGAAUUCCAGGUGUAGCGGUGAAAUGCGUAGAUAUCUGGAGGAACACCGGUGGCGAAGGCGGCAUCCUGGACCAACACUGACGCUGAGUGAGCGAAAGCCAGGGGAGCAAACGGG